rnacentral:rRNA from 1 species
UGGGGAAUAUUGCACAAUGGGCGCAAGCCUGAUGCAGCGACGCCGCGUGGGGGAUGAAGGCCUUCGGGUUGUAAACUCCUUUCGCUAGGGACGAAGCCUUUUAGGUGACGGUACCUGGAGAAGAAGCACCGGCUAACUACGUGCCAGCAGACGCGGUAAUACGUAGGGUGCGAGCGUUGUCCGGAAUUACUGGGCGUAAAGAGCUCGUAGGUGGUUUGUCGCGUCGUCUGUGAAAUCCCGGGGCUUAACUUCGGGCGUGCAGGCGAUACGGGCAUAACUUGAGUGCUGUAGGGGAGACUGGAAUUCCUGGUGUAGCGGUGAAAUGCGCAGAUAUCAGGAGGAACACCAAUGGCGAAGGCAGGUCUCUGGGCAGUAACUGACGCUGAGGAGCGAAAGCAUGGGUAGCGAACAGG